rnacentral:misc_RNA from 1 species
GAGUAAUCCUUGUAAACCUCGACGGCAUGUGCGCCGAAAAUCUCGCUCUUCAUGACUUCGGAAAAUCCGAGAAUGGCGUUGAGCGGUGUGCGCAAUUCGUGACUCAUCUGGGCGAGAAAGCGCGACUUCGAAACGUUGGCGGAUUCUGCCCGGUAGCGUGCCUCGUCGGAGAUAGCCUUGGCCUGUUCGAGUUCGCCGAUCAGCGCA